UACGUAGGGUCCGAGCGUUGUCCGGAAUUAUUGGGCGUAAAGGGCUCGUAGGCGGUUUGUCGCGUCGGGAGUGAAAACACGGGGCUUAACCCUGUGCCUGCUUCCGAUACGGGCAGACUAGAGGUAUGCAGGGGAGAACGGAAUUCCUGGUGUAGCGGUGAAAUGCGCAGAUAUCAGGAGGAACACCGGCGGCGAAGGCGGCUUCCUGGCUCAUUACUGACGUUCAGGUACGAAAGCGUGGGUAGCAAACAGG
rnacentral:rRNA from 1 species